UUAUAAGGAAGGCGUCGGGUCCUCCAUUUCAGUCUUUCUUUCUGCCAGGACGUGGCCGUGGCAUUUCUGGUCUGUAAACACUGAACUCUUUGGGGUCU
rfam:Pteropus vampyrus cont1.34309, whole genome shotgun sequence.